rnacentral:pre_miRNA from 1 species
AUUAUACUCCCUCUGUCCGGAAAUACUUGUCAUCAAAAUGAAUAAAAAGGGAUGUAUCUAGAUGUAUAUUAGUUCUAGAUACAUCCCUUUUUAUCCAUUUUGAUGACAAGUAUUUUCAGAUGGAGGGAGUAGUAA